rnacentral:rRNA from 1 species
UAGCCACUGGAAACGGUGAGUAAUACCGCAUACGCCCUUCGGGGGAAAGAGUUUAUCGGAGAAGGAUCGGCCCGCGUUAGAUUAGAUAGUUGGUGGGGUAACGGCCGUACCAAGUCUACGAUCUAUAGCUGGUUUUAGAGGUAUGAUCAGCAACACUGGGACUGAGACACGGCCCAGACUCCUACGGGAGGCAGCAGUGGGGAAUCCUAGACAAUGGGCGCAAGCCUGAUCUAGCCAUGCCGCGUGUGUGAUGAAGGUCUUAGGAUCGUAAAGCACUUUCGCCAGGGAUGAUAAUGACAGUACCUGGUAAAGAAACCCCGGCUAACUCCGUG